rnacentral:rRNA from 1 species
CAAUAGCGUAUAUUAAAGUUGUUGCAGUUAAAAAGCUCGUAGUUGGAUUUGUGGCGUACGGUGUGUUCCGGGCACUUGUUGUCUGAGUAACCUGCUGUUGCCAUCCUUGGGUGGAACCUGUGUGGCAUUAGGUUGUCGUGCAGGGGAUGCCCAUCAUUUACUGUGAAAAAAUUAGAGUGUUCAAAGCAGGCUUAUGUCGUUGAAUAUAUUAGCAUGGAAUAAUGAGAUAGGACUUUUUUGCUAUUUUGUUGGUUUGCGCAAAGAGGUAAUGAUUAAUAGGGACAGUUGGGGGUAUUCGUAUUCCAUUGUCAGAGGUGAAAUUCUUGGAUUUUUGGAAGACGAACUACUGCGAAAGCAUUUACCAAGGAUGUUUUCAUUAA